rnacentral:rRNA from 1 species
UUUAACUGAAGAGUUUGAUCAUGGCUCAGAUUGAACGCUGGCGGCAGGCUUAACACAUGCAAGUCGAGCGGGGGAAGGUAGCUUGCUACCGGACCUAGCGGCGGACGGGUGAGUAAUGCUUAGGAAUCUGCCUAUUAGUGGGGGACAACAUCUCGAAAGGGAUGCUAAUACCGCAUACGUCCUACGGGAGAAAGCAGGGGAUCUUCGGACCU